AUUGAACGCUGGCGGCAGGCCUAACACAUGCAAGUCGAGCGGAUGAAGGGAGCUUGCUCCUGGAUUCAGCGGCGGACGGGUGAGUAAUGCCUAGGAAUCUGCCUGGUAGUGGGGGAUAACGUCCGGAAACGGGCGCUAAUACCGCAUACGUCCUGAGGGAGAAAGUGGGGGAUCUUCGGACCUCACGCUAUCAGAUGAGCCUAGGUCGGAUUAGCUAGUUGGUGGGGUAAAGGCCUACCAAGGCGACGAUCCGUAACUGGUCUGAGAGGAUGAUCAGUCACACUGGAACUGAUACACGGUCCAGACUCCUACGGGAGGCAGCAGUGGGGAAUAUUGGACAAUGGGCGAAAGCCUGAUCCAGCCAUGCCGCGUGUGUGAAGAAGGUCUUCGGAUUGUAAAGCACUUUAAGUUGGGAGGAAGGGCAGUAAGUUAAUACCUUGCUGUUUUGACGUUACCAACAGAAUAAGCACCGGCUAACUUCGUA
rnacentral:rRNA from 1 species